rnacentral:rRNA from 1 species
UGGGGAAUAUUGCACAAUGGGCGCAAGCCUGAUGCAGCGACGCCGCGUGAGGGAUGACGGCCUUCGGGUUGUAAACCUCUUUCACCAGGGACGAAGCUUUUGUGACGGUACCUGGAGAAGAAGCACCGGCCAACUACGUGCCAGCAGCCGCGGUAAUACGUAGGGUGCGAGCGUUGUCCGGAAUUACUGGGCGUAAAGAGCUCGUAGGCGGUUUGUCGCGUCGUCUGUGAAAUUCUGCAACUCAAUUGCAGGCGUGCAGGCGAUACGGGCAGACUUGAGUACUACAGGGGAGACUGGAAUUCCUGGUGUAGCGGUGAAAUGCGCAGAUAUCAGGAGGAACACCGGUGGCGAAGGCGGGUCUCUGGGUAGUAACUGACGCUGAGGAGCGAAAGCGUGGGUAGCGAACA